CAGAGGGCAGGGUGCUGGCUAACGGCCAGUCGAGGCGACUCGCAGGAAAGUGCCACAGAAAACAGACCGCCCGCUCCGCGAGGGGCGGGUAAGGGUGAAACGGUGCGGUAAGAGCGCACCGCGUCCGGGGUGACUCGGACGGCUCGGUAAACCCCACCUGGAGCAAGAGCCAAUAGGAGCGCGUCCCCGCUGUCCGGGGGACAGGGGUUGCCCGCCCCAUGCGUUCGGGUUGCUCGCUGAUGAGGUCCCUGGGCAACCAGGGCCCUAGAUGAAUGUUCAUCGCCCGUCCCGAAAGGGGCGGGA
rnacentral:misc_RNA from 1 species